UGACAAGCUACUAAGUGCGAUCGGUGGAUGCCUUGGCACCAAGAGCCGAUGAAGGACGUUGUAACCUGCGAUAAGCCCUGGGGAGUUGGUAAACGAGCUGUGAUCCGGGGAUGUCCGAAUGGGGAAACCUUGAAUGUCCGGAGUCAUGUCCGGUGACCCUGCCCUGAAUGUAUAGGGGUGUGGGAGGUAACGCGGGGAAGUGAAACAUCUCAGUACCCGUAGGAAGAGAAAACAAUUGUGAUUCCGUGAGUAGUGGCGAGCGAAAGCGGAUGUGGCCAAACCGUGUGUGUGUUCAAGCCGGCAGGCGUUGCAUGUGCGGGGUUGUGGGGGCCUGUGUGAUCCUGCUGCCGUGGGAUCGGCUUGCAUGUGGUGUGAAGUUGAAUCGUCUGGGAAGGCGGACCGUAGUGGGUGAGAGUCCCGUAGACGUGAGUGUCAUGUGUGGUUGUCAGGUUGCCCCAAGUAGCGCGGUACUCGUGGAAUGUCGCGUGAAUCUGGCGGGACCACCCGUUAAGCCUAAAUACUUCUUGGUGACCGAUAGUGUAUCAGUACCGUGAGGGAAUGGUGAAAAGUACCCCGGGAGGGGAGUGAAAUAGUACCUGAAACCGGUCGCAUACAAGCCGUCGGAGCCUUGUGGGGUGACGGCGUGCCUAUUGAAAAAUGAGCCUGCGAGUUAGUGGUAUGUGGCGAGGUUAACCUGUGUGGGGUAGUCGUAGCGAAAGCGAGUCCGAUAAGGGCGUCAGUCGCAUGCUCUAGACCCGAAGCGGUGUGAUCUAUCCAUGGCCAGGAUGAAGCGUCGGUAAGACGUCGUGGAGGUCCGAACCCACUUCAGUUGAAAAUGGAGGGGAUG
rnacentral:rRNA from 2 species